UACGUAGGGUGCAAGCGUUGUCCGGAAUUAUUGGGCGUAAAGAGCGCGUAGGCGGCCCUGUAAGUCCGCUGUGAAAGUCAAGGGCUCAACCUUUGAAUGCCGGUGGAUACUGCAGGGCUAGAGUCCGGAAGAGGCGAGUGGAAUUCCUGGUGUAGCGGUGAAAUGCGCAGAUAUCAAGGAGGAACACCGGUGGCGAAGGCGGGUCUCUGGGCAACAACUGACGCUGAGGAGCGAAAGCGUGGGGAGCGAACAGG
rnacentral:rRNA from 1 species